rnacentral:rRNA from 1 species
GAAUAAGCACCGGCUAACUCUGUGCCAGCAGCCGCGGUAAUACAGAGGGUGCAAGCGUUAAUCGGAAUUACUGGGCGUAAAGCGCACGCAGGCGGUCUGUUAAGUCAGAUGUGAAAUCCCCGGGCUCAACCUGGGAACUGCAUUUGUGACUGUAUAGCUAGAGUACGGCAGAGGGGGAUGGAAUUCCGCGUGUAGCAGUGAAAUGCGUAGAUAUGCGGAGGAACACCGAUGGCGAAGGCAAUCCCCUGGGCCUGUACUGACGCUCAUGCACGAAAGCGUGGGGAGCAAACAGGAUUAGAUACCCUGGUAGUCCAUGCCGUAAACGAUGUCUACUAGCCGUUGGGGCCUUUGAGGCUUUAGUGGCGCAGCUAACGCGAUAAGUAGACCGCCUGGGGAGUACGGUCGCAAGACUAA